GAUCCUGGCUCAGGAUGAACGCUGACAGAAUGCUUAACACAUGCAAGUCUUUGGCGAAGCUGUGCUUGCACAGCCUAGCCAAGGCGGACGGGUGAGUAACGCGUAAGGAACUUGCCCUGCAGUCAGGGAUAACAGACGGAAACGACUGAUAAGACCUGGUAAAGUCAGGCGGACUCAUGUCCAGCCUGAUGAAAAGAGAUGCUGCAGGAGAGCCUUGCCG
rnacentral:rRNA from 1 species